rnacentral:rRNA from 1 species
AGUCGAGCGGAAACGAUGGGAGCUUGCUCCCAGGCGUCGAGCGGCGGACGGGUGAGUAAUGCAUAGGAAUCUGCCCGAUAGUGGGGGAUAACCUGGGGAAACCCAGGCUAAUACCGCAUACGUCCUACGGGAGAAAGCAGGGGCUCUUCGGACCUUGCGCUAUCGGAUGAGCCUAUGUCGGAUUAGCUGGUUGGUGAGGUAAUGGCUCACCAAGGCGACGAUCCGUAGCUGGUCUGAGAGGAUGAUCAGCCACAUCGGGACUGAGACACGGCCCGAACUCCUACGGGAGGCAGCAGUGGGGAAUAUUGGACAAUGGGCGAAAGCCUGAUCCAGCCAUGCCGCGUGUGUGAAGAAGGCCCUCGGGUUGUAAAGCACUUUCAGUGGGGAAGAAAGCCUUGGGGCUAAUACCCUCGAGGAAGGACAUCACCCACAGAAGAAGCACCGGCUAACUCCGUGCCAGCAGCCGCGGUAAUACGGAGGGUGCGAGCGUUAAUCGGAAUUACUGGGCGUAAAGCGCGCGUAGGUGGCUUGAUAAGCCGGUUGUGAAAGCCCCGGGCUCAACCUGGGAACGGCAUCCGGAACUGUCAGGCUAGAGUGCAGGAGAGGAAGGUAGAAUUCCCGGUGUAGCGGUGAAAUGCGUAGAGAUCGGGAGGAAUACCAGUGGCGAAGGCGGCCUUCUGGACUGACACUGACACUGAGGUGCGAAAGCGUGGGUAGCAAACAGGAUUAGAUACCCUGGUAGUCCACGCCGUAAACGAUGUCGACUAGCCGUUGGGAGCCUCGAGUUCUUAGUGGCGCAGUUAACGCGAUAAGUCGACCGCCUGGGGAGUACGGCCGCAAGGUUAAAACUCAAAUGAAUUGACGGGGGCCCGCACAAGCGGUGGAGCAUGUGGUUUAAUUCGAUGCAACGCGAAGAACCUUACCUACCCUUGACAUCGUGCGAACUUGGUAGAGAUACCUUGGUGCCUUCGGGAACGCACAGACAGGUGCUGCAUGGCUGUCGUCAGCUCGUGUUGUGAAAUGUUGGGUUAAGUCCCGUAACGAGCGCAACCCUUGUCCCUAUUUGCCAGCGAUUCGGUCGGGAACUCUAGGGAGACUGCCGGUGACAAACCGGAGGAAGGUGGGGACGACGUCAAGUCAUCAUGGCCCUUACGGGUAGGGCUACACACGUGCUACAAUGGUCGGUACAAAGGGUUGCAAAGCGGCGACGUGGAGCUAAUCCCAGAAAGCUGAUCUCAGUCCGGAUCGGAGUCUGCAACUCGACUCCGUGAAGUCGGAAUCGCUAGUAAUCGUGAAUCAGAAUGUCACGGUGAAUACGUUCCCGGGCCUUGUACACACCGCCCGUCACACCAUGGGAGUGGACUGCACCAGAAGUGGUUAGCCUAACUUCGGAGGGCG